AUGCUCAGCCACACCACGCGCCGCAAGCUCAGAGCUAGGACAGCCGUUAACUGCUCGGCGUCGUCAUGUGGUUUCUUUACGGACUCGCUGGUCUCUGACAGACCAAAAGAAGAUGGCAGCAACGGACCACGGUACACGUCUGGACACUGUUUUCCAGUCUCCAGGGCCACCACCUGCCUCCACAGGCCCCACCUGAGGAUUCUCAGAGCUGCAGGAAUGAGAGUUCUUUCAACUUUUAUCCUCAUGGUGACUCCCCAUGCGGUUUCUUGAGGGCUGUGGUAAACCAUUUCUCUGUAAUAAAAAUACCCAUGAUACUCUUUUCUCUACUACCUCUUUGAAAUGUAAGAUGGCAGUACUAAAAAAAAGAUGGCAAUAUUAAAAUUGCUUAUAUUGAAUGUACUGUCAUUUCCAAAAUUCUUCACAUGGUCAAAUAAAAAUAUUCUCUUUGAAUAUGCAAACCUGUAUUUUAUAUUUUGUAUCCCAA
rnacentral:lncRNA from 1 species